rnacentral:misc_RNA from 1 species
GAUGAAGAACGCAGCGAAAUGCGAUACUUGGUGUGAAUUGCAGAAUCCCGUGAACCAUCGAGUCUUUGAACGCAAGUUGCGCCCGAAGCCAUUAGGCCGAGGGCACGCCUGCCUGGGUGUCGCACAUCGUUGCCCCAAUGCCUCAGCCCUGUUGCAAGGCAUGGCAAAGGGGCGAAUGUUGGCUUCCCGCGAGCGAUGCCCUCACGGUUGGCUGAAAAUCGAGUCCGUGGUGGAGUGUGCCGCGAUGGAUGGUGGUUGAGUGAUGAUGCUCGGGACCAAUCAUGGGUAACUCCACCAGAAUUGGGCUCGGUGACCCACAUGCGUCCCUUGGAUGCUCCCUAAGGAGACCUCAGGUCAGGCGGGGCUACCCGCUGAGUUUAAGCAUAUCAAUAAGCGGAGGA